UGAACAAGGCUAAGAACAACUUCCACGUUCGCGGUUUUAUUUAGACGUUUUAACAUCCUGGAACUCAAAAUCGGAUUAAUUGAACUGCACAUCACCACCCCGUGUAGUGUUUAGUUCGAGUUUGAGACAGGACUUAUUUGAUAGCUAACAAUGGCUAACUGUAUGAAUUUUCACACUCAAAUUUCCUCCGUCAUGGAGGUUCUAGCGAAUGCAGCCGUUGAAGAGAUCUGUAAACUCGUAGACGACGACUAUGCAGUGUUUCGUUUGGAAAUAACUCAAAGCCAAAAAGAAAACAGGGCAUUGCGGAGGAAACUACUGGAAUCGAAGGUGGCACGGGAGCGCGCAGAAAGGACAACGCGAGAGCGCGUCCUCGCCAGUCGUCCCAGUAGUAUCAAGAUUGUCGAACGAUACAGAGGAAUGGCAAGAGGUGAAGGACAUCUCACUGGAGGCCACAGGAGCUUUGUGAAGCCAGUGGGACACAAUACUUGGAGAGAUGACCAACCAAUCACUGUUGAUGAGGAGAGUGGAACCUCAACCCAGCACGUUAUCAUGAUAGAGUCUGCAGAUGCAGAGGCUGAAGAUCCUGGUGUCAAGCUAGAGAGGUCUGAAGGAGAGGAGGACCCAUGGCACAGCAGAGACAUCCAAACUGGAACGGCUGAAGCGCCCCAUGUAAACAGAAAAGACUCAACCGCCCCAGCACAGCCAAGGACCCGACGCAGCAUCACGGAGGUCAGUGGAAUGUCGAAUGCCGUCCUCAAGUCAGAGACAGACACCAAGACUUUAACUGUAACACACAGUCUCUUACACACAGGAUGUGACCACAGAUCAGAUCCAGAGAGACUGGGGCUGGGGAGACUGGGCUGUCCUCCUGCUCCCGGCUCAGAGUACUUACCAGUAUUUCAACAGAGCCAGAGAACAGUUAAUUCCAGUGGGGAUGGUAACUCGUUAGACACUAGUGGUGAUGAUUCAUCUUGUUCUUACGCAACAGAGAUGGACCCUGGCAACAUAUCCUUGGGUUUAGAGACACAAACUCGUCUGUCCAGAGGGGACUGGAACCGGUACAGUAGUAGUGUAUACUCUGAAGGGUGCCUAGAUAAGAAAGGGGAGGGUCUGGUUGUAGAUGAAGUGACCAUGAUAGUGGAGGGCGACGUUCCUCCCACAUGGAAUGCAGAUAGUCACCUAGUAGACAGACACUCACAGGGCAGAGAUUUCUUAAAUUACAGGGGAAGCUUAGAGACAAAUCCAGAUGUCACGACCCACUCCCCUUUGCACACGUUCAGGGAUCAUGACCAAGUGUCUACGUCGAUGGGGCCUUCCGAUUUACACAGCCGUGUCCUUUUCGAUCAGGUAUUGAAUUCAAACGACAGGGCUAAAGCCCAGACUCAGGGACGUGUAACCACAUCAGGCAAUAGCAAAGAGAAACGGUUCCUCUGCAUGUUCUGUAACAAAGGCUUCAGCUGCCUCCAGAAGGUGGAGGUCCACCAGAGGAUCCACACAGGGGUGAAACCCUUCAGCUGUACCCAGUGUCACAUGCGCUUCGCCCAGGCUGGCACCCUGAAGAGGCACCAGAGGGUCCACACAGGGGUGAAACCCUUCAGCUGUACCCAAUGUAACAUGCGCUUCGCCCAGGCUGGUGACCUGAAGAGGCACCAAAGGGUCCACACAGGGGAAAAACCCUACAGCUGCCCCCAGUGUGAGAAGAGAUUUACCCGCCAGCACCAGCUGAAGAUGCACAUGAAGGUCCACACGGGAGAGAGGCCAUUCGCCUGUACGCACUGCGGGAAGAGAUUCUCAGAUAGGAGCUACCUCAGGAUACACCAGCAGAAAAAACAUUCCACUCAAUAGCUUCAGACGUUUAGAUGUAUUAAAUAUAAAGAUUCAUUUUCAUUGUUGUCAGCAGAAAGGAACCACAGAUGCAUUUGGAAUAAUGCGAGUAGCAGAUUUCAGUGUUGAAUAUUCCUGGGUAGAAUAUUGCAUCCAGACAUGUGAUAUAUAUUUUAGGCAUAUUUGUGACUAAAAAGUCUGUUACAUAUUGUGUUUGUACUGUGUAGGCCAGGGAUGGGCAGCAUUGAUGGGUGUGGGAGCCACAAAAAAAUCGGAACUCAGUCAGAGCCCGCCCUAGCCUUUUGGGGGCCCUAAGCUAUAUUUUGCGAGUAAAGCAUUUUAGCAAAGAGAAGAAAUUGUAGUUUUAGAGUUAAUUUCCUGCAAUUCUACACAUUUUGUCAUGGGGCAUAGAGAAAAUGUUGCAAUUUGUAAGCAAGUUUUCUGCAAUUCUACACAUUUUUGUUAUGAGGUGGAUAGAAAAUUGAAAAUUCUUAAUGUAAUUUUAUGCAAUUCUACGCAUGAUCAUGAGGGCUCCCAGGUCAGUAAUUAAAUCAUGAUUGCUACAAGUUUGGAAAUAAUAUGCAUUUUGCCAGAGGGUGGAAACAACUGCUUGCAGUUUUUUUUAUAUGAUAUCAAACGAUCAAUUGGUUGCCCCCUGUCAGUAAUUCGGCCAUGAUUACUACAAGUUUAGAUAGCUUGGGGGGGGGGGGGGUUAAUCCAUAGACAAAAAGGUUGCCCAUCCCUGGUGUAGACUAUAUGUGACGCGCUCUAUAAUAAUCAGUCGGAAGUAGCAAUUACUAAUUUGCAUGUAAAUUGUGUUUUUGUCGAAAUUUAGAUUUUUUUGCUAUCUGGGGGUUUCAUCUGGUUUUAACAAAACAAUGUCUUUGCUUUCAUCAUCUGUAUGUGUUAUUGCCAAAUUCCGUAUGAAUAUAGUUUUUAAUCCUUCAAACGUAGGAUAAAACGUGGCACUUUCCAAUCCGUUUGGUGGAUGCUAGCUUGUAACACAUCAGGCUUUCGAGGCACUAGCUUAACCCUCAUCUAUUCCGAAAUCAUGAAUGAAUUACAAACUAGCUAGCUCACUAUAUAGUUUAAAUUAAGCUACAAUAAGCUAUUCAAUCGGAUGAUUUUCCUGUUUUCCCAAUCAAAGCUACUGUAGUGUAUCAUCUGCGGGAAAAGGCUACACUCUCUCGCUCAUAAAGACCCAUCAUACAUAGUUACACUGUCACUACUGCCUACACCGUAGCUAGUUAGCUUUGCUUUCAACUGCACUGAUGGAUUUCCGGGAGAGAGAAAUCGCAAUAUUUUUAAAUAGUAAUUUUGUGCUUGGAGCUGGUUCAGACGAUCAGUGGCAUCAACUUAUUGCCGACUACUUUUUGACCCUGCGCCACAGAGCAAUGACAUAAGCGACUCAGACAAGCUCACUGAAGUCGAGGCCGUGCACCUUGAGGAGGCAACCGAGGAAGACCACCUGUGCACCUGUUAAUGGUGAAUCGAUCAAUGACGGCGCUUCAGUCGGUCGAGGGGAAAUAUGUCAGUGGUGCUGGGCAAGAAAUUGAAAAGGAUUGCGAGUUCAGGUGAACGUGCACGUCCAAUAAAGGGAAGCCCUGAUAUUUGGUUUUUACCCCCGAGGAGAUGGUCAAGAGACGUGACCAGAUGAAUUAGCUAACUCACCAAUGGUAAGUGCUUGCCAUUCAAGUAGUAGUCAAGUUUAUGUGGGUGUGUAAUGUGUGCAUGUUUUCUGUGCCUGUCUAUCUGUUAGUGUGUUUGGGUGUGAUAAGGCACACGUAGACAGACGAGCUAACUGUUCAUGUAUUAAAGCCAACUGUGUGUGUGUGUGUGUGUGUGUGUGUGAGUGUGUGAGUGUGUGAGUGUGUGAGUGAGUGAGUGGCUGGCUGGCUGGCUGGCUGGCUGGCUGGCUUUGGGGGGAGAGAGUGAAGUGGGGGAUGUGUAGCCCAUGCAACCUAGCUAUGUAGAUAGUAACUUAUGGGACCUGUGUGUGUUGUGGGUGCUGGUAUUUGUCCUAAAGACAGGUUACAUAAAUCCAUGAAAUGGCCAUCUAUAAAGUUAUGACAUUUAUUUAUAUCGAACCUGACCCAUUUACACUACUAAUAAAAGUGUGUGUGAUUCACGCAUGCAUUUCGAUCUGUACAGGUUGCAUAGUUUGUGUUUUCUUGAACAUGUUUAUAUCACUUUAAAAUUUAUUGGCUAGAAUAGAUGACGACAAUGACUGAAUGUUAAAAAAUAGUAUAUUGUUAGUUGUCUUAUUUUUCAGAUGAAAAACAUCUAGUGCUCAUUGGCAAGAUCUCUGGUUCCAUGAACCUCUGCAAGGAAAUGGUCAUCUCGAACCGGAACUAACAAAAAGAAAACAUCAGAGGACAUAUUUCUUUGAGCUAAUCUGCAGAGAAACAUUCAAGUUCCGACACGCUUCUAAGGAUCGUGAUAAGGCUCCAAGGAAAAAGAGGUGUGGUGGUCAUCUCGCCAGAAAACAGGUGCUGUCCUACGAGGACACUCAGUGAAUCGUCCACUAUGUCAACAACUUCACCAAUAUCCACGCGGUGCCGCUCCCAGGACAGAUCCCUGGAUUUAAGA